rnacentral:rRNA from 1 species
UACGUAGGGUGCGAGCGUUGUCCGGAAUUAUUGGGCGUAAAGAGCUCGUAGGCGGUUUGUCGCGUCGGCCGUGAAAACUUGGGGCUUAACCCCAAGCCUGCGGUCGAUACGGGCAGACUUGAGUUCGGCAGGGGAGACUGGAAUUCCUGGUGUAGCGGUGAAAUGCGCAGAUAUUAGGAGGAACACCGGUGGCGAAGGCGGGUCUCUGGGCCGAUACUGACGCUGAGGAGCGAAAGCGUGGGGAGCGAACAGG